GACGAACCGUGCAACCGUUGUUCGGAAUCACUGGGCUUAAAGGGCGCGUAGGCGGGCCAGCCAGUCUGUGGUGAAAGCCUCCAGCUUAACUGGAGAAGUGCCGUGGAUACUGCUGGCCUCGAGGAGGGUAGGGGCAUCUGGAACGGUCGGUGGAGCGGUGAAAUGCGUUGAUAUCGACCGGAACUCCGGUGGCGAAGGCGAGGUGCUGGGCCCUUUCUGACGCUGAGUGCGCGAAAGUCAGGGGAGCAAACGGG
rnacentral:rRNA from 1 species